rnacentral:rRNA from 1 species
GGGCCCGCACAAGCAGUGGAGUAUGUGGUUUAAUUCGAAGCAACGCGAAGAACCUUACCAGGUCUUGACAUCCUAGGAACGGUCCAGAGAUGGACUGGUGCCUUUCGGGGAAUCUAGAGACAGGUGGUGCAUGGUUGUCGUCAGCUCGUGUCGUGAGAUGUUGGGUUAAGUCCCGCAACGAGCGCAACCCUUGUGAUUAGUUGCUACGCAAGAGCACUCUAAUCAGACUGCCGUUGACAAAACGGAGGAAGGUGGGGACGACGUCAAAUCAUCAUGCCCUUUAUGACCUGGGCUACACACGUACUACAAUGGUCGCUAACAGAGGGAAGCGAGACCGCGAGGUGGAGCAAAACCCUAAAAGCGAUCUCAGUUCGGAUUGUAGGCUGCAACCCGCCUACAUGAAGUUGGAAUUGCUAGUAAUCGCGGAUCAGAAUGCCGCGGUGAAUACGUUCCCGGGCCUU